GGAAGUUCCUUUGAGUCAUGAGACUCCGUGGGUCAACUAGGGCUGAACCGGCAUAUGCCACCAAAGUAAGCUCCAUCUGGUGAAUUCAUUUCACACUGUCUUGGACAAAGAGGAAGAAAAUUGAAAAUCUCUUUGGAAUCAGUCUUGCCAAGAACACUAAAAAUCUCCUGUGAUAGGACCUUGGUAAGUCAGAGUUGACGUGAAGGCAAACAACUGUAAUAGCUUAGAUUUUAGUGUUAGAUAUAAAGACUGUCAUAUAGCAGGGUUAUGUUUUUUAGCCUUAAAUUUUGAAUCAAGAUACUUAUCUAACCUCUUUUAAAGAAAUACCAGUGACAGUUUAUGAAGCUGAUUUAGGAACAAUGCAAAACAACCUUGAUCUAACCUGAAGAGCAAACUGUGUUACCAGAAAAACUCAAGAUAACUUCCUACUUCUAAACCCUGAUCACAUAACUGCGCUAUACUUUUUGAUUAUAGUAGAUAAGUGUCAUAUAUUACAAGAACCCAAAGAGAAUGGUUAAAACUGUGUUAAAUAUUUGAUGUCACUAUUAUGCAUCUUCAAGUCUCCUGUGACUUAAGGUGACCUUAUCCUAGAUUUUUUUUUUGGCAAGAGUUAUACAUUGGGGGAAGUGAGUUGCUACUGUUUUCCUCUUAACACUGGGAGAAUGGGAUUUACCCAAGGUCAUCUAAUGGGAAACUAUGCCUGAGCAGGGACUGGAUCCUUGGUUUCCUGGAGUUAUACUCCAACCUCUACAUUACACUGGAAAUAGUCAUUAAGUGCUAUAUUUAUAUCUAUUUAGAAAAAUCAAUUUUGAGCUCCUCCUCCUUCCUGGCCUACUAAAAGAGCAUGGCUGUUGACUUUAUUAGAGUGAUCCGCAUGCAUCCAUUUUAGACAAUAAAACUUGAAGGCUCAUUAACUUGGAAUGACCCAGCUGUGUUCUGUGCACAGGGGUCAUUUCUUUACUAAUGAGCCACUAAGCCAGAUGGCUAACCCCACAGUCGCCUAACUGCAUUAUUGUGAUUUAGAUCUUUAAGCAAAUUGCUUCUUGGGGAUCAGAAGAGACACACAGUGACAGUGAUGUGUGGGACUUUGUUUAUAGGUGAAGAAAAGGGAAAUACUCACAUCUUUGGAAGACUCAUGCUUAGAAAACCAGGAUGGCUGAUCUGUUAUUUAUACAAGCCAUCCAUUUACUAUUGUAGAAAAUUAUAGCGGCAUAAAGGAAAAACUAAAACCAUUGAUUCUAUUGACCUCUGGAGAAACUAUUAACAAUUCAGAAUGGUUCUCAACUGUUCUCACCUUGUUGUCUAUACUUUCUUUGUGGGAUCAUUGUCAUUUCUGUGAUUCUUUUCAAGACUUCAUGACACACGGUUGACAAAGUCUCCUUAAAACAUAAUGCAUGAAGGGUUCAGUGAAGUGGCGGCAGAAGCAAGAUGACAUCUGAAUGUGAAAUGCAACCUUUCCGUGUCACUUUGAGAUAAAAGGAGUCUGAGUGGCACUACCAAACAUAAACUGACUCAGGACAGCCCCACUUUAAAAAAAAAAGAAAUAAGAUAUGGCUUUAAUAAAGUGAGCACAGAGCUUUUCUUGAUCUUUUAUUUCACUUUAGUUUGACAUUCUGUUUCCUUUUUACUUCAACCAGUUCUCUGUUAGAGGUAUAUUCAAAUUCUAUCUGUUUCUGCUUCUUAAAAAGUUGCACAACUUUUUUGACUAUGGGCCUUCAUUCUGUCAUGAUUGCUGCGUGCUUGGUUUAAUUUUUAAAGUGUUAAAAAAAAUAAAGAGGUAUAGAGUGAA